rnacentral:lncRNA from 1 species
CUCAGGACGUGCAAGUGCAUCUGGCAAUCAUGAAUCUGGAGACUCCUCUAGGAUUUGGGAUAGAGGAAAGCAAUUCUUACUUGUCAGCAAGCCUCUUCUUCCCUCUUGUCCUCAACUUGCUCAUAAGCUCCUUCCUUAGCAUCGGCCACCAAGGGACAGUCAUCCUGUGUCACAUGAAUCGAUGAUAGCUUUAAUUUCCUCCUUGUUCAUGGGCUUCACAGGCAACUCUGGCUGCUUCUCAGACACCCUCCCGUCCCCCAAGUCCACUUCUCAUUUGUCUCCUGAUGCCGUUUCAUCUCGUUCAAAACCCCCUUUCCCUUGCGUCACCACGGGGAACAAUUCUUGGAGGGAAGCCGUGGGGUGGGGCCCCUCUGUCUACCCAUCAGGGUAGCUUCUCUAUAUAGAAUACUAUAUACAAGUAUGCUGGUGUAUUGUUCCAGCGUCGGCGCCCCCUACUGGCUGCGCGCUGGAGGAGGGCGCUUAGUGCGCCUGCGUGAGGCCGAGUGGGUGGCGGCCUCCUUAGGCGGCUUUGCUGUUCGCGGGCCAGGCGCGGCCAUGGCGCAGCCAGGGAAGAUACUCAAGGAGCAAAAGUACGACCGGCAGCUGAGGUGAGCCGGGGUUUACGAGUGAGCAAGCCGGCCAGGCU